UACGUAGGGCGCAAGCGUUAUCCGGAAUUAUUGGGCGUAAAGAGCCCGUAGGCUGGUUUGUCGCGUCUGCCGUGAAAGUCCGGGGCUCAACUCCGGAUCUGCGGUGGGUACGGGCAGACUAGAGUGAUGUAGGGGAGACUGGAAUUCCUGGUGUAGCGGUGAAAUGCGCAGAUAUCAGGAGGAACACCGAUGGCGAAGGCAGGUCUCUGGGCAUUAACUGACGCUGAGGAGCGAAAGCAUGGGGAGCGAACAGG
rnacentral:rRNA from 1 species